rnacentral:rRNA from 1 species
GACGAACGCUGGCGGCGUGCUUAACACAUGCAAGUCGAACGGAAAGGCCCUGCUUUUGUGGGGUGCUCGAGUGGCGAACGGGUGAGUAACACGUGAGUAACCUGCCCUUGACUUUGGGAUAACUUCAGGAAACUGGGGCUAAUACCGGAUAGGAGCUCCUGCUGCAUGGUGGGGGUUGGAAAGUUUCGGCGGUUGGGGAUGGACUCGCGGCUUAUCAGCUUGUUGGUGGGGUAGUGGCUUACCAAGGCUUUGACGGGUAGCCGGCCUGAGAGGGUGACCGGCCACAGUGGGACUGAGAUACGGCCCAGACUCCUACGGGAGGCAGCAGUGGGGAAUAUUGAACAAUGGGCGGAAGCCUGAUGCAGCAACGCCGCGUGCGGGAUGACGGCCUUCGGGUUGUAAACCGCUUUCGCCUGUGACGAAGCGUGAGUGACGGUAAUGGGUAAAGAAGCACCGGCUAACUACGUG